UGUUUUCAAAAUGAAGUUAAGUGGUGUUAUCUUCUUAGUUGUGCUUUUAACUCUUGUCCUGAUUUCUUCACAAGCAAGAAAUCUUCAAGCCUCUCUACAACCCCAAAUUAAUAGCCGAACUGACUAUCUUCAACGCGCAUGAAAUCAGGUCGUCCAAGCCACGUCGGAUCCGACCGAAGUUAGAUCUUGCGUUGGAGUCGGCCAUCCGAUGGUGUCUGAAAGUCAGGCGUCCAAAGGACUGAGAUUUGAAACAAAAGCAACAGCAACAGGAGAGGGGCCGUGGGGCGGUUGUUGGAAGUGCUGGCAUCGUCGCCUAUAGACUUCGUAGUUUAAUCAUUAAUUAUUGUUAUUUGGUCGUAUGUAGUUUAAUCAUGAUUUCAUUUGUGUUCAUAUAAGACUUGUAACUUAUGUUUGUACAUUUAGAUGGAUUCAUCUUGGGUUGUAAUAUUCAUCUUUGUGCUAUGAUUCAACUUAAUGAACAAACUAUGGACC
rnacentral:lncRNA from 1 species